AGUGAACGCUGGCGGUAGGCCUAACACAUGCAAGUCGAACGGCAGCACAGUAAGAGCUUCCUCUUACGGGUGGCGAGUGGCGGACGGGUGAGGAAUACAUCGGAAUCUACUUUUUCGUGGGGGAUAACGUAGGGAAACUUACGCUAAUACCGCAUACGACCUACGGGUGAAAGCAGGGGAUCUUCGGACCUUGCGCGAUUGAAUGAGCCGAUGUCGGAUUAGCUAGUUGGCGGGGUAAAGGCCCACCAAGGCGACGAUCCGUAGCUGGUCUGAGAGGAUGAUCAGCCACACUGGAACUGAGACACGGUCCAGACUCCUACGGGAGGCAGCAGUGGGGAAUAUUGGACAAUGGGCGCAAGCCUGAUCCAGCCAUACCGCGUGGGUGAAGAAGGCCUUCGGGUUGUAAAGCCCUUUUGUUGGGAAAGAAAAGCAGCAGGUUAAUACCCCGCUGUUCUGACGGUACCCAAAGAAUAAGCACCGGCUAACUUCGUG
rnacentral:rRNA from 1 species